rnacentral:lncRNA from 1 species
UGGCUGCAUCAGAAAUACUCCUCAUCAGAAAGUGGCGAUAAUUACAAGUUUUAGAGGGUUAUGUCAUAAACAUUGACAAGCAGUGAGUCAUAUAAAGCUACUUUGGCAUGUAAAUGCCAAAGGAUGACAUAUAAAAUGACACAUAAAACCAAUCCAUUGAUGACGUAUAAAAUCAAUCCAUUUUCAAUGGGUGUUGAAGUUGUUUCUGUAAUUUUUCUAUGAUGACAAACGCUGGGCAAUGUUAAUUUUUGCUGGUAAAAUUUUUGCCUUUGUAAACUUUGUGAAUGCUGAUACUGCACAUUUUAAUACUAAUUCUCUUAUUUUUGUGCAGUUAGGGGGAUGGAGAAGGGAAGGGAUUUGCUCUAAGUCACAAAGCAAGCUAACUGCAAAAUGGGAAUUAGGAACGAACCAGGGGCCCCCGACUAGUACUUCUUCUAGCUGAGGACUCAGAGAAAGUCUCACCUGAGAGAGGGUAAAGGAGAAGCAGGGAAAGAAUUGGGCGCCAGGAUAGAGCAGAGGGCAGAAGAAGGCGGGGUCGCUGAGCCAACGCCUAGGCCUCAGCCAUCAAAACUAAUAGGUCGCCUGGCAACGCUAGCGGCGCGGCGUUCGAACGGAAGCGAGGAACCAAUCAGGAAGUCCGGGGCGAACCAUUCCGCUGAAGUGGGUAGGGGCGCUCACUUCCCCUUCCUCCGAGCACUGCAGACCUUCGCUCCGGCGGGGGCGACAGGACUGCCCCGGGCACCGGUUCAGCUGCAGUGCAGAGGACAGUUCGGAAGACAUCCCUGCGGGCCACCACGCGGGUGGAGCCUCCUGGGCUGCUUUGGCAGAGGCCACUCCAGGCCUGGGCCGGCGCUGUCAAAGCUAGCUUCUCUUGUCCCCGCGUGGGAGGAGUGGAACACGACUAGGGCGGGCUCCAGGGCGGCGAGGACGCUGAGACUCCAAGAGGCAAGUGUCCUCGACCGGCGAGGUCUGGUACAGAAAGUAGUUCCACUAUUUCCGCUGUGUCUUGCUGCCUGUAGUGGAGGGGCUUGCAGAGUUGCCUUGAGAAGCCUCGACGGACAACCGGUGGUCACUUUCUCAGUCCCUUAUCUCCGGGACGUGGCUCGUGGAUCCCUGGCUGGAUCACCUAUCCCCACACAGGCACCGUUCUCAAGGUACCCAUUUUGGACCUGCCUCUCUCCAGGCAGGCAGGGAUUAUCAUCAGGGCUCCUCUGGGACCCUUCUGCCUUCUGGGCUCUGAAUUCCUGGGCUGCCCCUCUCAGAGUACUUCUCUUGGAAAAUCAGACGGUCUUGACAUUUCUGGGCUAGAUUAGAGGUGGCAGCAGAUUUUAUGGCCUUGGAAGUCGCUGCUGUACUGUUAGGCGUCUGCUUUGGGUCGGGGGGGGGGGGGGAUCUGCUUUGGGUCGGGGGGGGGAGGGGCAGUCUCUAAGCCAGAGCCACUAGUCACCAGGGACUUUGGAGUUAGGAGUGGGGCCAGGACCCUCCCAAAUGGAGUGCCAAGUAUGAGACUACACAGGUAUUCUGCCUCCCGGGGCGCCUCUGCCCAGGUUUUUAUUGCUGGUCUCCUUUUGUGGGUGGAGAAACUGAGAAGCCUAAAGCUGCAGAGUUGUCAAUACAGGUUGGCUCCUGGUCCGUCUGACUUCACUUUUAGGGGCUUUGACACAGAGUCAUAGGAGUUGAGAGUCUUGCAUCUCUUCAGAAGAGAAUUACUUAUCCUCUUCUGGAUCAGCCUUUCAGCUUUGGGAAGAGGAGCUCAGAGAACUUGAAAGAAAAUUAAGUCUUUAUUUGUUCUUUCAACACAUAUUUAUUGACUGCCUAUACCCUGGCCUCCCCCAUGUGUGUUUUGUUUUCUAAUGCUGAAUGCAUUUUACUUGUGAGCCAGUGUAUUAUCUUCCCCCACUGGAAUGUGACAUGAGGCAGGAGCUGGGUGCUCUUCACCCGCAUGAAAUCCAGGGUGCCAAACCUCAGUAAUCAAGAUAGCCAAAGCUAACAUCUGCUGACCAUUUGCUGUGUGCUCUGCUAGUGGGAGGUCAAUGCAGACAGUUUCCUUGGAGUGAGCACAGUCUGCCUGUCUCUGUCACAGUUACAAGUGCUCCAGGAGGCAAGCUGUCCCAUUUCUAGGUGAAAUUAUGUAGGUGCACUGGUGAUCAGUGGGAUUCAUAACAGACAGAAACUGGAGAGUUGGCCAUAAGUAGGGACUGAAGGGGAGUAAUUAGCACCAAGAGCAAUAGGUAUCAUUGAGCAAAAGUGCGAGGUGGAACAAUGCCCAUGGCCUGUACUGUACGUAUAAAAGGGAGAGGAAGAGCUUGUGUCCAUAUUUGCUUUUCUCUGGAAGGAGAGCCUGCUCUCUGAUCAUAGUGGUGCCUUCAAGGAGGACAGUUGAUGGGGGAAUAUUUGUUCUUUUUAUUUAUUUAUUUUUUUUACUUUAUUCUCUUUAAAGGUAUUGUAUUUGAGUCAUGUGCAUGAUGUAUCAUCUCAUUGAAAAACCAUUAAAUAAACAGUUAGUGAUUAAAUAUAUGUAAAAUCAUGAGAUCACAGCCUUGUUUGUGAUCUGUCACCAACUCGCUGUGUGACUCUGGAUGAGUUUCUUCUUGUCUGGGUUGAGAUAGAACUCUAUGAUGGUGAGCUCAGCCCAGGCAGACAGCAGUCUAGAACAGGAAGUGGGCUUGGUUGUGAGUCUGUUUCAAGUGCUAAAAGACCUUGAAUGUGGCAUCUUUGUCAUUUGGACCCCACUGAAAGCACUUUUUUUCCCAUUUUGCCACUCCAGGUACAAACCAAGGCCCAGAAGGUUGAGCUGGUAGAGGUGGGCAUAUGGCUGGGCCUGGCAGGAGUGCAAUGCCCCAGGCAUCCACACCCACUCUGCUCCUGCAGCCUGCUCAUCACUCCCUUCCUGAGGUUUGUGCAAGGCUGCCCCUGGCCAGGCUGACUCCUGGGCAGGUCAGGGCACAAGCCUUGGGAAGACUCCAGAAAUAGCUUAGGACCUGGCAUGGCCCUGGGGGGUGCCAAGCAGGGUGUCUCUGACCAGAACAGCUGGGCUGAAAUUGAGCUGGGCUGUCCUGCUGGCUGACCACCUCCCUACUGCCUGGAGCCUUCCUGAUCCUCUUGUGGGGUAGGCAAGGGCCUCCAUGUCUCUACCAAGUCCAGGUUGGCUUCUGCUGAAGAGAAAGAGAGAGGCAAGUGGAAAGAACAGGAGAGGGUUGGUGCCGUGUUAUAAAAAUGAUUAACAGCAAAACCACACCUCUUACCCCCUAAAUAAAGGAUAAAAAUUACCAACAUGUCUUGAGUACCUACUGUGUGCUAAGUGCUUUACAGGUAUACAUUGCUUUAAUUCCCUGUAUUCUCUGAUAUAAGGUUGUUGUGAAUGUUAUUUCCAUCUUUUAAAUUUAAAAAAAAAAUUAUUUUUUUGAGAUACAAGGAGAACUGAGCUACAUCGCCAGUCCUUUUUGUUGUUUUAGUUUCGAGACAGGAUCUUGCUGAGUUGCAUAGGCUGGCCUUAAACUUGUAAUCCUCCUGUCUCAGUUUCCCAAGUAGUUGGGAUUACAGAGACCCCACA